GUGGGUGAGGAGGGGAAUCAGUGAAGAAGCAAACCUACUGCAUUGUACAAGUUCUGGAGGAAUUCAUCUCACUGUGAUCUUCUGUGAAUGGUGCACUAAGGGCAGAUGGUAGAGAGAUAUGGAAUACCAAAAUCCUUGUACGUAAUGGCUGAGAGCAGGAGCUGUCGUAACUAACAGGAUCGCUGUUCUACUUUAUUAAGAAUAUAAAUCUUCCUGAGCAGAUCUCACAUGAAGUUGGUGCUGUCAUUGUGGUUUGUUUCACUGAGAAUGGCAGUCCUGUGGACUUAGGUAUAAGAACCAUUCAGCCCCCAUCAGCGUGUGUAAUCUCUGGCAACUCUCUUAAAUUUUUUAUACCUCUGUUUCCUCAUAAAUGAAAUGGAUAACAAUACCUAUCUCAGUAUUAUUCUGAAAACUGAAUGAGAUACAUUGUGUAUAACAUUGAGCAUGGUUCUUGGUUCUUAUCAAUACUUAGCAGUAAGUGGUGGUUAUAAUUUCGAAUAAGAUUUAAAAAAAUGUAGCGACUUGUCAAGAGUUAUACAAGUAUAAAGGAUUAUUCUUUUGGUUUUAACCAGGCCAGUUACUAAGCUAUUGCCUUUCAGGUCCAAAGCAUCGUCUUUCGAUUCAGCUCAGCAACCUUGCGGCUUGCACUUGCCAAACGGCCUUCGGCUUUGGUGUCCGUCCCUGUUCCUCUUCCAUCAGGGGGCACCGGAGGGAGAAGCGAGGCUGGGAGAAGGCAAGUUCCUUCCUGCCUGCUUCCUGUUGGCUUGGGGUCUCUUCCUGUUCCUGAGAGCGGCGUUGCAGCAGUUUUCCAUUCCGAGGCGGCAGUUCCUUCCCAAAGUCAGAAUCGAAUCCGGUUUGCAGUGACUCUGACGCUUUCAAAAUUCUGGGCUCCACUUCAGAGUCGCCGGCACAAGUCACACCUCCUUUUUAUGUCUUUCUUGUAG
rnacentral:lncRNA from 1 species